UGCAUAUCAAUAAGCGGAGGAAAAGAAACCAACAGGGAUUGCCUCAGUAACGGCGAGUGAAGCGGCAAAAGCUCAAAUUUGAAAUCUAGCACUUUCAGUGUUCGAGUUGUAAUUUGAAGAAGGUAACUUUGGUUUUGGCUCUUGUCUAUGUUCCUUGGAACAGGACGUCACAGAGGGUGAGAAUCCCGUGCGAUGAGAUGCCCAAUUCCAUGUAAAGUGCUUUCGAAGAGUCGAGUUGUUUGGGAAUGCAGCUCUAAGUGGGUGGUAAAUUCCAUCUAAAGCUAAAUAUUGGCGAGAGACCGAUAGCGAACAAGUACAGUGAUGGAAAGAUGAAAAGAACUUUGAAAAGAGAGUGAAAAAGUACGUGAAAUUGUUGAAAGGGAAGGGCUUGAGAUCAGACUUGGUAUUUUGCGUUCCCUUCCUUUUUGGUUGGGUUCCUCGCAGUUUACUGGGCCAGCAUCGGUUUGGAUGGUAGGAUAAUGACAUUGGAAUGUAGCUUUACUUCGGUGAAGUGUUAUAGACUUUGUUGAUACUGCCUAUCUAGACCGAGGACUGCGUCUUUGACUAGGAUGCUGGCGUAAUGAUCUUAAGCCGCCCGUCUUGAAACACGGACCA
rnacentral:rRNA from 1 species